rnacentral:rRNA from 1 species
GAAAUGCGAUAAGUAAUGUGAAUUGCAGAAUCUCGUGAAUCAUCGAAUCUUUGAACGCACAUUGCGCCCUAUGGUAUUCCGUAGGGCAUGCCUGUCUGAGCGUCAGCUCCCCCCCACUCAAGUAUCUUUACUUUUUUGAUUCUUGGAAUGAUUUGGAGAGGUCUCUUGUCAUGUAGACGCCCUCCAGAAAUUCAUAGGCAGUAUGGUUUGCACCUGAACCAGACGUAAUAAUAAUAAAAACGUUUGUUUGGGUAUGAUUGUGCUUGCCUUAACCCACCCAUUUCUUUGUUUGGGUGACCUCAGAUCAGGUAGGGAUACCCGCUGAACUUAAGCAUAUCAAUAAGCGGAGGAAAAGAAACCAA